GGAUUAAGAUACUUCAAGAAAAAGCUUCUAACUUUAUUCUUAAGCAGUGCAAAUCUGUUUUUAGUCCU
rnacentral:tRNA from 1 species